CAUUAUCUUCAUUCUCAUUUCUUGAUCGUCGCAUCGAUCCGCGGUUUCUUGCAAAUUUUUUGGCUAUUUCGUUCGACGAUCGGUAAAAUCCUAUAUUCAUGUCUCAUCAGGCGAUUUCCGCCGAAGGAGAAGAUGAAGCUAUACUCUUACGGGAAAAGCUCAUGCGCCCAUUGCGUUCGAAUCACUCUCAAUUUCAAAGGGCUUGAUUACGAGUAUAUUCCCGUCUAUUUGCUCAUAAGUGACCAACACAACCCAGAGUUCAAGAAGGUCAAUCCGAUUGGUUUCAUACCAGCACUGGCCGAUGGAGAUGUCGUAGUUUCUGAUUUUCUUGCCAUUGCUAGAGAGGGCAAAACAUCAACUGAGGCGAAGAUUGACUUUUUGCUUUACUAAACAGGAAGAGACUUAGCGAGAGGAGAAGCCAACAUUAGAAGAUAUCUCCAUGAUAUUAUCAAGGCUAAUCUAAAAAAAAAAUGCAAUGCAUGGAAAGAAUUGAUGGGUCUGGACAGCUAUUGAAGAAUAUUUGAAUAGAAAUACAUAAUCUUAAUGCAAAGGGUGCAAGGACUUAAAGUCAUAAUAGACGAUGCAAUUGAAGUAGAUAAGAGACUGCAUGAACAAUGAUUCUUCAUUCGGGUUUUCUUCAACGGACACAGACUUUGUUGUUAGAACCGAAUCUCUAAUGGAAGACUGCAAGAACAAGGAGACAAAAUCUAAUGGAAGACUGUUUGUUUUGGCAAGAAUAUUCGAAUAAUGAUAAUCGAAGGAUUGACGGUUCGGUCAUUCGUAGCAGACGAGUGGAGUGAUUGAAAAGAUAUUGGCAUUUUUCUUGAUGGACGAAGAGAUGUAUAGUCGCAUGUUUUGCUUAGAGUAUCUUUCUCCAAUCGUUGCGUGCUAGAUCACUCUUUAGCAUUAGUUUUAUGGGUUAUGAGACUAUUGAUAUGUGAUUUUAUGAUUGU